AGUAAACAGCGCGUUAAACGUCGUUUCGCCGCCAUGUUGCGUGCUUGCUUGCUCGUCUGUUCGCUCGUGUCCGGAACCGAGCUCUCAUUUCAAUAUCAGCCCUAUCGUCGAAGCAAUGAGCCUUGUAAGAUAUGCUAUGGGGAAGACUGCCUGCAGAUGAACCAGGCAAGGUGCGAGUACUACGUGGAAACAGAUGAGAUACUGCAUGAAGAAAAGAUCGAGGAAGUUGAUAAUCAUGAGAUGAGGGAGGAAGUAGAUCGAUUGAUGUACCGGUUUAUGGAGAAAGCAUCUGAUGCCAACACUGAAUGUAUACCACUAGUAUCUCAAUAUACGGAUUGCACUAAAGAAAACAUAUGUGUCGGUUGCAAGACUUGCAGCUGUGACCUUAGCGGCAGCUGGAACUGCACCACGGUGAGCCGGUGCCGAGCUGACGUCGUCACCGACAUCGACCAUCGCAUGCUAGUCUUCAUCAUUGAGAAUCUUAUGAACGCUCAAACUAACAAGAGGACAAAACGGAACACAGAGGAAAAUCUAAACAAACUGACCACGAAUAAAAUAAGUUUUGCACAAAUUUCACAAUGGAUGUUUGGAGUACCACCUUUAAACUCAAAAGAAACAACACAAAACAGUGCUAUCUCAUCGGCUACUGAAAAUAUAAAUAAUAUUACUUCAUUUACAGAAACCACCACACGAACCAAAACAAGCCCAGAAACUAGUGCUAGAGUAGACUAUCUAGAUUUUGAAGAAGUGCUAAACAACAUCGCAGUUGAUAGCAAAACUUACUCUCGUAGAAAACCUCUAGAUAAACACAAUGAUUCUACAACAUUUGAUUACAUGAUAUUUGAUGAAGAUAAUGCAACAGACAUUACUACUAACACACCUGGGAAUGAAGAAUGGGAGAACAAUUAUGCUCCGCCUAAACCAGCUGAAGAAACAGACAUAGUUAUUGAUUUACUAGAAUCAGCUAAAAAGAAUCAAGAAAUUUUUACAACUAACUGGACCGAUUACACGGAAACUGACAAUAAAAUAAACAUGAUAGAUACUGCAUUAGAUUACAUUGAUAAUUUUGUACUUGGCUCAAAAAAUAUCAUGAAAAGAGAUACCUCGAUUAAAAAAAUAAGUACAGAAAAAGAAAACAUUACCAACAACGUCAAUGAAUUACGAAAUAAUGUCCUGCUACCAUUAAGUAAUAUAAUUAACGAUAAACAAAAAGAAUUGGAAGAAUUACUCCGAGUUAGCGAAAACUUAAUAAAAAUUAUGAGAACUUAUAACAAUUCGUUUGAAACAAGUGUUAAAGAAAAUAGGUAUAAUGAUACGAACUCAACUAUAUCUAUUUACAACUUUGAAAUAGCGCCGGAGUUAGAAAAUGAAUUUAGAAGAAGCGACAAGAAUUUACUUCAGAAAUAUUUAUUAAAACUGAAACGAGAUAUUUAUGAGGUUAUAAGAGAUAUUGCUGGUAUACAAAACUAAAAGGAGAAGCGCAUAUUCCUGUAGACUUAAAAAUAUUACUGCGUGCCAUGAAACGUUACGUACGAAACCAAGCUAAAUUGAAUUACAAAGAAAAGAAAUCGGAUGUUGAAAACCUAAAUAGUCGACGUACGCCUGCCGAUACAAAGAAUGAUGCAACUAAAAAAACCUUAGUUACUGAAAUGGUUAAUAUUUUAAAAGUUAUUGACAAAAAUUUGCCUGAAAGUAACGCAUUGGCUUCCCUUUCGCCAACAUCAAGAAAAAUUAUUCAAAGAGUUAUUAAAACAAUUAUAUAGACGAAUUCUCAGUAAUAGGACUGAGAGUAUUUGACCCAGAAUACAAUUUAACCAAUGAUAUAAAGAAAAUUGGUACUGAAUGGCCCAGAAUGACAGAUAUUGUAGCACAAACCCCAAUCCACGAUAGAUUACAUGCCAUGAAACUACUGCAUCUCAUAUUAUCAAUCGAUAUCACCAAAAUGAACGAUGCACUGGCAUUAUUAGACUUUGCUUAUAACCGAAGAAUGAUAUUAAUAGAAGGUAACUUAGGUGGAGAAAUUAUGGAUAGAAUAAACAAAGGGCUGAAAGCAAUAAACGAAAAAGUCAAAGUUAUCAUAAAUUUACAUAAAAAUAGACAAAUCAAGAACCUGAAGAAUGUGGAAGUGACUAAACAGGUCCAAAAAGAAUCAUUUUUAAAGAAGCUUAAAAAGAUAUUAAGAUCGUCCAAAAACGAUAUCGUUGGCUUGUUAAAGAAAAAGGUGCCAAAGAAAGAGAUAGUAAAAGGAUUGGCAAAGAAGAAGAUUGAUGAACUUACCAGGCGGAGAUAUAUGGAAUUUGAGGACACCAUGAGGAAAUGGCAAAGUAAAUUGAACUUAGUUCCGAGAGAUAAAAGAUUCGCACGAGAUGACAAUUAUAAAAGUCAUAUGAAAAACAUACUUCCUAAGUAUUUAAGGGGUAAAGUUAAACCAGUUAUAGCUGCGAAGAAGUCCAAAACACGUGAAAAACAAAAAAAGCAUUCUAAUACCGUUACAACUACAACGAAAUCAAAAUUAACUGCAAAUCCGAAUACGUCUAAAUCACGUACAAAUAUAUAAUUUUACUAGUAAAUGUUAAUUUUA